AUUGAACGCUGGCGGCAGGCCUAACACAUGCAAGUCGAGCGGAGCGGCGGACGGGUGAGUAAUGCCUAAGAAUCUGCCUGGUAGUGGGGGAUAACGUCCGGAAACGGGCGCUAAUACCGCAUCCUCUCAGAUGAGCCUAUGUCGGAUUAGCUAGUUGGUGGGGUAAAGGCCUACCAAGACGACGAUCCGUCACUGGUCUGAGAGGAUGCUCAGUCACAUGGGAACUGAGAAACGGUCCAGACUCCGACGGGAGGCAGUAGUGGGGAAUAUUGGACAAUGGGCUAAAGCCUGAUCCAGCCAUGCCGCGUGUGUGAAGAAGGUCUUCGGAGUGUAAAGCACUUUAAGUUGGGAGGCGUUACCAACAGAUUAAGCACCGGCUAACUUCGUGCCAGCAGCCGCGGUAAUAC
rnacentral:rRNA from 1 species